UACGUAGGCAGCAAGCGUUGUUCGGAAUUACUGGGCGUAAAGGGUGCGUAGGCGGCCGUGUAAGUGUGGUGUGAAAUCUCCCGGCUUAACUGGGAGGGUGCGCUACAGACUGCAUGGCUAGAGUGUGGGAGAGGAAAGUGGAAUUCCUGGUGUAGCGGUGAAAUGCGUAGAUAUCAGGAGGAACACCGGUGGUGUAAACGGCUUUCUGGACCAUAACUGACGCUGAUGCACGAAAGCGUGGGUAGCAAACAGG
rnacentral:rRNA from 1 species